rnacentral:rRNA from 1 species
GACGUAGGAUGCGAGCGUUGUUCGGAAUUAUUGGCGUAAAGCGUGCGUAGGCGGCUAUUUAAGUCUGGUGUUAAAGCUAGGGGCUCAACCCCUGUGUUGCCACUGGAAACUGGAUAGCUCGAGUGCGGUAGGGGAAGGUGGAAUUCGAGUGUAGCGGUGAAAUGACGUAGAUAUCUGAAGGAACAUCAGUGGCGAAAGCGACUUCCUGGACCAAUACUGACGCUCAUGUGCGAAAGCGUGGGGAGCAAACAGGG